rnacentral:lncRNA from 1 species
AAAUGAAGUAUACACUAUUACUAUAACUGAGUGACAUUUUUGUAAUUGAAUUUGUAUUGAAGAAUUAUAAAUUUGCAUGCAAUUAAAAGAAACAAACAGGGCAAUCUUUUGUAUACUUUUCAGUUUUUUCCCAUGGUAACAUUUUUGCUAACUAUAAUAUUAUAAUUAGGAUUUUGAUUUUGGCAUGGUAAAUUGAUGCUAUUUGAUCUCUCCUAGUUUUACUUAUACAUGUGUAUGUAAGUUUAUUAAGUUCUAUCCAGUUUUACUACUAUAGUCAAAAUACUGAAUGACUCCGUUAACUACUUCCCCACACUACACCCUGUUUCCAGUCCCUGGCAAUCAUUAUUCUCCACUAUUAAAAUUUUAAAAUUUAAUGUUCUAAAAUGGAAUUCAAAAUGUUUGCAAUUAUGCAGUUGUUAACCUUUUGGAACUGAUUUUUUUCAUUCAACUUAAUUCCCUGGAGUAGACCCAACAUGUGUGUCUGUGUAUUUUUAUUUCUAAGUGUAUAUCUUAUACUAAAUACAAACUACAGUUUUGUUUUAUCUGUAGGAAAAUAUCUGGGCUGAUUUCAGGUUUUUGAAUUAUAAGUAAAACUACUAUGAACAUUCACAGACAGGUUUUUGUGUGAGCAUAAGUUUUCCUUUCUCCAGGAUAUAUGGCCUGGAAAGCAGUUACUGGAUCAAAUGGUUAGCAUGUUUUAGUUAAGUAGGAUAGUGCCACACUCUUUUGUAGAGUGCUAUACCAUUUUAUAUUCCCACCAGCAAUGAGUUGGUGAUUUUAUUUCUUCAAACCCUUG